rnacentral:rRNA from 1 species
UACGUAGGGUGCAAGCGUUGUCCGGAAUUAUUGGGCGUAAAGAGCUCGUAGGCGGUCUGUCGCGUCUGCUGUGAAAACUCGGGGCUUAACCCCGGGCCUGCAGUGGGUACGGGCAGACUAGAGUGCGGUAGGGGAGACUGGAAUUCCUGGUGUAGCGGUGAAAUGCGCAGAUAUCGGGAAGAACACCCGUGGCGAAGGCGGCUCUCUGGGACGGUACUGGACGCUGAGACGCGAAAGCAUGGGGAGCGAACAGGA